rnacentral:rRNA from 1 species
GAUGAACGCUGGCGGCGUGCCUAAUACAUGCAAGUCGAGCGAACAGACGAGGAGCUUGCUCCUCUGACGUUAGCGGCGGACGGGUGAGUAACACGUGGAUAACCUACCUAUAAGAAUGGGAUAACUUCGGGAAACCGGAGCUAAUACCGGAUAAUAUAUUGACCCGCAUGGUUCAAUAGUGAAAGACGGUUUUGCUGUCACUUAUAGAUGUAUCCGCGCCGCAUUAGCUAGUUGGUAAGGUAACGGCUUACCAAGGCAACGAUGCGUAGCCGACCUGAGAGGUUGAUCGGCCACACUGGAACUGAGACACGGCCCAGACUCCUACGGGAGGCAGCAGUAGGGAAUCUUCCGCAAUGGGCGAAAGCCUGACGGAGCAACGCCGCGUGAGUGAUGAAGGUCUUCGGAUCGUAAAACUCUGUUAUUAGGGAAGAACAAAUGUGUAAGUAACUAUGCACGUCUUGACGGUACCUAAUCAGAAAGCCACGGCUAACUACGUG